GACGAACGCUGGCGGCGUGCCUAAUACAUGCAAGUCGAACGCGAGAGGAGGGAGCUUGCUCCCUCUGAUCGAGUGGCGGACGGGUGAGUAACACGUAGGCAACCUGCCCAUCAGUCCGGGAUAACCGCGGGAAACCGUGGCUAAUACCGGAUGAUCCUCUCCACCGCGGGGUGGGGAGUCGAAAGACGGCUUCGGCUGUCGCUGAUGGAUGGGCCUGCGGCGCAUUAGCUGGUUGGCGGGGUAACGGCCCACCAAGGCAACGAUGCGUAGCCGACCUGAGAGGGUGAUCGGCCACACUGGGACUGAGACACGGCCCAGACUCCUACGGGAGGCAGCAGUAGGGAAUCUUCCGCAAUGGACGCAAGUCUGACGGAGCAACGCCGCGUGAGUGAAGAAGGGGUUCGGCUCGUAAAACUCUGUUGUUAAGGAAGAACGACAGGUAGAGUAACUGCUACCUGUGUGACGGUACUUAACCAGAAAGCCACGGCUAACUACGUGCCAGCAGCCGCGGUAA
rnacentral:rRNA from 1 species